rnacentral:rRNA from 1 species
GACGAACGCUAGCGGCAGGCUUAAUACAUGCAAGUCGAGGGGCAGCACAGAUAGCAAUAUUGGGUGGCGACCGGCAAACGGGUGCGGAACACGUACACAACCUUCCUUUUGGUGGGGGAUAGCCUUUGGAAACGGAGAUUAAUACCCCAUAAGAUAUUGGAAUCGCAUGGUUUUGAUAUUAAAGAUUUAUUGCCAGAAGAUGGGUGUGCGUAUGAUUAGGUAGUUGGUGAGGUAAAGGCUCACCAAGCCGACGAUCAUUAACUGGUGUGAGAGCACGACCAGUCACACGGGCACUGAGACACGGGCCCGACUCCUACGGGAGGCAGCAGUAAGGAAUAUUGGUCAAUGGACGGAAGUCUGAACCAGCCAUGCCGCGUGGAGGAUGAAGGUCCUCUGGAUUGUAAACUUCUUUUAUAUGGGGCGAAAAAGGGCCAUUCUUGGUCAACUGACGGUACCAUAUGAAUAAGCACCGGCUAACUCCGUGCCAGCAGCCGCAGUAAAAC